UAAAAGGUAACGGAGGUGCUCAAAGGUUCCCUCAGAAUGGUUGGAAAUCAUUCAUAGAGUGUAAAGGCAUAAGGGAGCUUGACUGCGAGACCUACAAGUCGAGCAGGGUCGAAAGACGGACUUAGUGAUCCGGUGGUUCGGCAUGGAAGGGCCAUCGCUCAACGGAUAAAAGCUACCCCGGGGAUAACAGGCUUAUCUCCCCCAAGAGUUCACAUCGACGGGGAGGUUUGGCACCUCGAUGUCGGCUCAUCGCAUCCUGGGGCUGUAGUCGGUCCCAAGGGUUGGGCUGUUCGCCCAUUAAAGCGGUACGCUAGCUGGGUUCAGAACGUCGUGAGACAGUUCGGUCCCUAUCCGUCGUGGGCGUAGGAAAUUUGAGAGGAGCUGUCCU
rnacentral:rRNA from 1 species